GACGAACGCUGGCGGCGUGCUUAACACAUGCAAGUCGAACGGUGAAGCGCCGUCCUUUUUGGUGGGUGUGGUUGCGAGGCGAACGGGAGCGUAACACGUGCGUAACCUGCACCCUUCUUCUGCAUAACCGCAUGAAAGUGUGGCUAAUACGGGAUAUUCUGGGUCUGUCGCAUGAUGGGUCUGGGACAGAUAUUGUUUCGGUGGGGGAUGGGCUCGCGGCGUAUCAGCUUGUUGGUGGUGUGAUGGCCUACCAAGGCGGUGCCGGGUAGCCGGCCUGAGAGGGUGGACGGCCAGAGUGGGAGUGAGGCAACGCUGAGACUGCUACGGGAGGCAGCAGUGGAGAGUAGUGCGCAGUGGGCGAUAGUGUGAUGCAGGGGCGAGGCGUGAGCAGCGGCGGCCCUCGGGUUGUGAACGCCUUUCGCUAGUGAAGCAGGCCUGCCUGGGUUGUGGGGUGGUUGACGGUAGCUGGAUAAGAAGCGCCGGCUAACUACGUG
rnacentral:rRNA from 1 species